rnacentral:rRNA from 1 species
AGCGGACAGAAGGGAGCUUGCUCCCGGAUGUUAGCGGCGGACGGGUGAGUAACACGUGGGUAACCUGCCUGUAAGACUGGGAUAACUCCGGGAAACCGGAGCUAAUACCGGAUAGUUCCUUGAACCGCAUGGUUCAAGGAUGAAAGACGGUUUCGGCUGUCACUUACAGAUGGACCCGCGGCGCAUUAGCUAGUUGGUGGGGUAAUGGCUCACCAAGGCGACGAUGCGUAGCCGACCUGAGAGGGUGAUCGGCCACACUGGGACUGAGACACGGCCCAGACUCCUACGGGAGGCAGCAGUAGGGAAUCUUCCGCAAUGGACGAAAGUCUGACGGAGCAACGCCGCGUGAGUGAUGAAGGUUUUCGGAUCGUAAAGCUCUGUUGUUAGGGAAGAACAAGUGCGAGAGUAACUGCUCGCACCUUGACGGUACCUAACCAGAAAGCCACGGCUAACUACGUGCCAGCAGCCGCGGUAAUACGUAGGUGGCAAGCGUUGUCCGGAAUUAUUGGGCGUAAAGGGCUCGCAGGCGGUUUCUUAAGUCUGAUGUGAAAGCCCCCGGCUCAACCGGGGAGGGUCAUUGGAAACUGGGAAACUUGAGUGCAGAAGAGGAGAGUGGAAUUCCACGUGUAGCGGUGAAAUGCGUAGAGAUGUGGAGGAACACCAGUGGCGAAGGCGACUCUCUGGUCUGUAACUGACGCUGAGGAGCGAAAGCGUGGGGA